AUUGAACGCUGGCGGCAUGCCUUACACAUGCAAGUCGAACGGUAACGCGGGGCAACCUGGCGACGAGUGGCGAACGGGUGAGUAAUGUAUCGGAACGUGCCCAGUUGUGGGGGAUAACUGCUCGAAAGAGCAGCUAAUACCGCAUACGACCUGAGGGUGAAAGCGGGGGAUCGCAAGACCUCGCGCAAUUGGAGCGGCCGAUAUCAGAUUAGGUAGUUGGUGGGGUAAAGGCCCACCAAGCCAACGAUCUGUAGCUGGUCUGAGAGGUAGACCAACCACACUGGGACUGAGACACGGCCCAGACUCCUACGGGAGGCAGCAGUGGGGAAUUUUGGACAAUGGACGCAAGUCUGGAUCAGCCAUGCCGAGUGCGGGAAGAAGGCCUUGGGGUUGUAAACCGCUUUUGUCAGGGAAGAAACGCUCUGGGUUAAUACCUCGGGGUAAUGACGGUACCUGAAGAAUGAGCACCGGCUAACUACGUGCCAGCCGCCGCGGUAAGAC
rnacentral:rRNA from 1 species